GGACAUAAAUAAAUUGAUAGUUUUUCUAAAUUAGAUAUGUUAAUUAAAUAAAUUACAAGACAUAUCAUCAUUUUGUAAAUCGCAAUAAUGUCAUCAUGAUCAAAUUUCAAAAUUAAAAAGCCAUACAAUCUUCGUCUUUUUCUUUCAUUUUUUUUUCUCAUCCUUACUGCUUCAUCUUUUCUUUUCAUUCAUUUUUUUUUUCUUAUCCUUACUCCUUCAUUUUUUUCCCUUUUCUUUCAUUUACAUGACUCUAGGGAUGACAAAAUCCAGGUCCGAAUCCAGCCUUUCCAGUUCCGUAUAUGAUUUUCUUAUACCGAAUCUAGAUUUUAACCUAAAUUUUUUUCAUAUGGGUCCGAUCCGAGUUUAAUCAAGAAAAAAUUUGGGUUUCUGGAUUCCAUAUUUUGAACUCGGAUUAAUGAAUCAAGUAAAAAAAAUUAAAAUACAAAUAAAUCCAUAUUCUAAUAAAAUAAAAAAACAGAUAUGGAUUAAAUUUCAAUGUUUCUAAGCAAUAAAACAUCCACAAAUACAAUAAUCAUCAAUAAGAAUAAUAUUCAUUUGCAAGAAAAAUAUUAAAAGCAGAGGAAACAAAUCAAAACGAGAGAGAAAUUGUGGGAACUAUCAUGCAUUUGUAGAUCUCACUUUGCUGCCAUAUCAGAGGAAAAAAGAGGCAGAAAAGGCUGAAAAAGGCAAAGCAAAACCCAUGCCUUGAUGAUGAUGAAGAGGAUGUUUUCAGCUGAUGCCAUCGUUUUCAAUCGGAUAUCUCGCCGUCAGUGUUGUUUUUAAUCGGAUAUCUCGCUGUUUUAGUGCUGUUUUCAACUGAUGCCACCGAUGAUGACGAAGGUCGUAUUUUCAAUCGUAUCAUAGCGGGACAAAUGGCGGUUGAUGAUGAUGAAUAGAAUCGUGAAGGUAGCGAUUGGCAAAGCACAAUGAUUUGAUUUGAUGAGGAGAAGAGUUGAAGAGAAAGGAAAUGUGUGAAGGCAGACUGUGAUCUAUGAAACUAGGGCAUUUUUUAUAAUCUUUGUAUUUAUAUUAAAAAUAAUUAAAAAAUUAAUUUCAAAAUAAGAUAUCCGGGUUCGGGUUCUGGAUCUACGAGUUCACCCAAACUCAGAACUUGACUCGAAUACAUCCGACUCAGCAAAAUUGCAUUCAAAUACCGAAUUUAUUUUAAUCAUGUACGGGUUAAAUCUAGAUCGAAUUAUCUAGGUUCAUUUGGGUCCGCGUUAAGUUGCCAUCCCUACAUGACUCCUAUAACAUUUUUUUUUCUUUCAUUUUUUUCAUCCUUACUCCUUUCAUUUGUUUGGUGAAACUACAAUAGCAUUUUUCUUUUGUUCUUUGAUUUUCCUUCUCUUUAUAUAUAUAUAU
rnacentral:lncRNA from 1 species